rnacentral:rRNA from 1 species
GGAAUUUUGCACAAUGGAGGAAACUCUGAUGCAGCGAUGCCGCGUGAGUGAAGAAGGCCUUUGGGUUGUAAAGCUCUUUUGUGGGGGAAGAUAAUGACGGUACCCCAAGAAUAAGAUCCGGCUAACUUCGUGCCAGCAGCCGCGGUAAUACGAAGGGAUCUAGCGUAGUUCGGAAUUACUGGGCGUAAAGCGCGCGUAGGCGGUUUAGAAAGUUAAUUGUGAAGUCCCAAAGCUUAACUUUGGAACAGCAAUUAAAACUUCUAAACUAGAGUUUGAUAGAGGGAAGUGGAAUACAUAGUGUAGAGGUGAAAUUCGUAGAUAUUAUGUAGAACACCAGUUGCGAAGGCGGCUUCCUGGGUCAACACUGACGCUGAGGUGCGAAAGUAUGGGUAGCAAAGAGGAUUAGAUACCCUCGUAGUCCAUACCUUAAACGAUGAUUGCUAGAUGUUGGAAAUUUUUUUCAGUAUCGCAGCUAACGCGUUAAGCAAUCCGCCUGGGGAGUACGACCGCAAGGUUAAAACUCAAAUGAAUUGACGG